rnacentral:rRNA from 1 species
GACGAACCGUGCGAACGUUGUUCGGAAUAACUGGGCUUAAAGGGUGCGUAGGCGGGUCCGCCAGUCUGUGGUGAAAACCUCCCGCUCAACGGGAGAACUGCCGUGGAUACUGCGGACCUCGAGGAAGAUAGGGGCGUGCGGAACAGUUGGUGGAGCGGUGAAAUGCGUUGAUAUCAACUGGAACUCCGGGGGCGAAGGCGGCACGCUGGGUCUUUUCUGACGCUGAGGAACGAAAGCUAGGGGAGCAAACGGG